rfam:Homo sapiens chromosome 8, GRCh38 reference primary assembly.
GCUGGGCAUGGUGGCUCAUGCCUGUAAUCUCAGCACUUUGGGAGGCUGAGGUGGGUGGAUCACCUGAGGUCAGGAGUUCAAGACCAGCCUGGCCAACAUGGUGAAACCCCAUCUCUA